rnacentral:rRNA from 1 species
AACGGCCAUACCAUGCUGAAUAUGCCGGUUCUCGUUAGAUCACCGAAGUCAAGCAUCAUUGGGCGCGGUCAGUACUUGGGUGGGUGACCAUCUGGGAACACCGCGUGCCGUU